AAGGAAGGUGAAAGUGAAAGUGAAAACUAAACUCUGGUGCGUGUGCAAAAGCUGCUUGCUCCGUAAACAGCAGACGCAGACCAGCCUGGUAUCAACAUGGCUCCGGUCCUUAAGUUUGUGGUUAUUGGGGUGCUGGUGAUCGCACUUUGCGGUGGUAUGAUCCGUGCCUGGCGUUGGAUGGGCCACAACUACUACCGUGAAUACCACAGGAGAGACUCUUGGUGACCGAUGAACAUGCAAGAGCCACCUGGUCAGGGCAGUGUUCAAUGAGGCCUUAGGCUCCACAGAGCAAAACUAAAGAUUCCAGAAGCAUCUUUCAUGGGCACCAAAAGAAAUCCUUCCCUUCUGGGCCUCCCUGACCCCGGUUCUCCCUGUGCUGACAACUGAGGGGAAUGUCUCCCCAGCUCUCUGCUUCCUCAGCUUCAGGCUCAGCUGAGCCGGGAAAAUCACGCUGCUCCUCCAUUCACACCAAGAUGGCAAUUUGAAAUGGAUUUGAACAAACAGGCCCUGCCUAGGGCAUAUGCAUCUGUUGGGGGGGGGGGCUCCCAUGCUGUGUGCUCCCCUGCCUGUGAGCUUGUGAGCAGGAGGAACAAGUGUCUAGACACCCGAGCUUCACUCUUAAUCAUUCUGCCAUUUAAUAAAUGCAUGUGAGCAUUC